UACGUAGGGUGCAAGCGUUGUCCGGAAUUAUUGGGCGUAAAGAGCUCGUAGGCGGUCUGUCGCGUCUGCUGUGAAAACUCAGGGCUUAACCCUGAGCUUGCAGUGGGUACGGGCAGACUAGAGUGCGGUAGGGGAGACUGGAAUUCCUGGUGUAGCGGUGAAAUGCGCAGAUAUCAGGAGGAACACCGGUGGGCGAAGGCGGGUCUCUGGGCAAUAAACUGACGCUGGAGGAGCGAAAGCCGUGGGGAGCGAACAGG
rnacentral:rRNA from 1 species